rnacentral:rRNA from 1 species
GGCUGACGGGUGAGUAAUGCCUGGGAAUAUGCCCUGAUGUGGGGGAUAACCAUUGGAAACGAUGGCUAAUACCGCAUAAUCUCUUCGGAGCAAAGAGGGGGACCUUCGGGCCUCUCGCGUCAGGAUUAGCCCAGGUGGGAUUAGCUAGUUGGUGGGGUAACGGCUCACCAAGGCGACGAUCCCUAGCUGGUCUGAGAGGAUGAUCAGCCACACUGGAACUGAGACACGGUCCAGACUCCUACGGGAGGCAGCAGUGGGGAAUAUUGCACAAUGGGGGAAACCCUGAUGCAGCCAUGCCGCGUGUAUGAAGAAGGCCUUCGGGUUGUAAAGUACUUUCAGCAGUGAGGAAGGGGUGUACGUUAACAGCGUGCAUCUUUGACGUUAGCUGCAGAAGAAGCACCGGCUAACUCCGUGCCAGCAGCCGCGGUAAUACGGAGGGUGCGAGCGUUAAUCGGAAUUACUGGGCGUAAAGCGCAUGCAGGCGGUCUGUUAAGCAAGAU